GGCAGUCUCCAUUUAACCACAUAGUCAUUGUACUAUCAAAAGGAUUUCAGUAACUGAUACAUUAGAAGCUGUUUCCAAGCAUAUUAUUUGUAUUACACUUCAUGUGCUUCUACUCAAAUAUUAAUAUGUUUUCUAACAGGCUCAAGUGACACAUGAUGACAAGUCAAUUGUAACCAUGAGUUACAUUUUUCAUUUCCCUCAUUAUCUGUGCAGCAGAACAGGAUAAUCUAAAGUCUUAUUUUGUUAGUUAGUUUGUAUCAGAUCGAACUCUCUCUCUCUCUCUCUCUCUCUCUCUCUCUCUCUCUCUCUCUCUCUCUCUCUCUCUCUCUCUCUCUCCCUCUCCCUCUCUCUCUCCCUCUCUCUCUCUCUCUCCUGGUAGUUGGGUGUGCUCUCUGUGGUGUCACAAUAGCCAGAUCUAAUGUUUCCAGGAUGGAUCCCAACCAUAAAAUGCUCUGCUCUCAACAUGUUCCCCUCCUGGGCAGAGAGAAAUCACUGACUCUCUGUCAGGAACAUCGGCCUGGUUUCACUUAAGAGCCACUGAUUGGGCAACAUAUGGACUGUUAAAAUCAUGAAUGUGCCUUUGUUCAAUACUUCCCUCUGUUACAAAAUUAGUCUGUGGACAAGGAUGAGCGUGAGAAUUGCAAAACAUUGAACUCUCAGCUCAUACUGAUUCAUUUCCUACUCUCUGCUGGGAUGUUUGAACACCCAUUUCCAGCAGUCAUGAUUAGGAGGAGGAAAUGAUGAAUGACUUCUUAAAUGUACUUAUCUUUAAGACAAAACUUGUUCAGCCAAAGAUCAAAAUUGAGCUUUACAUUCUGUCAAGUAUUGGGUGUUAAUUUACAUACACUGUAUAACUAUUUGUUUAUUGAACAACAACAGUUCAUUUACUUUUUAGGAAACAAAAAUUAAAAUGAAAACCAUCCAGUAAGCUUGAUAGUGUAUGUAUGCAUGAUUAAAGACAAAACCAAACAUUUUGACUUAUGAUAACUUACAGGAAAACAGUCAUGUUUAAAGCCUUGGAAUUUUGUUAGAGAAAUAUGAAAGUUGGAGAAAUUGUACAGAUUAUAUUGUAUAUGUUCAUAACUCUAUACCCAUACUAUCCUCAGAGGAAAAUGUGGUCCCUGUAACACUACAAUUCUACAAUUCACUUAGCAGACGCUUUUAUCCAAAGCGACGUACAUCAGAGAGUAAGUACAACACAAGCAAGGAUCUAGAAAAAAGGGAACAAUGUCAGUAAGAGCAAACGAUCAGCUUUGAGUCCGAUUGGACAUACAGGUGCUGACAGGAAGUGACCAGAGGCAAAGCACAACAUUGACAGCAGUUCUUGAGAGCUCUAAUCAGUAUAGAAACCAUCUUAUAAGUCAUUGUUACACUGUUUGAAGAUAAGAUGCUACAUGAGAAGUUGUGGGGGGGCCCGCAACAGUGAAAGCGUAACUCUCCUGGUAUCUUU